rnacentral:snoRNA from 1 species
ACAUGGGGUGGUGGGGCUGCACGAGCUCAGGCUCUCGACAACACUCUCUCAUAGUUCCCAUGCGAGAGCAAAUGGCCGCAAACUGUGGCUUGGCCACUGUGCCGUAGAUUGCUGGCACUGAUGUAGCUUGCACAGUG